UUUCGUGGCUAUUAAAGUGCAAUUGGCACUAUUUGGUAGGAUUACGGGAGCUCUUUAAGCGCAGGUGGCUUGUCCACCUCCAUUUGUUAAUCCUUUCGGUUGGUUAAUUCUUUUUCCCGGUGACUUGGUAAUGGUGGUCCAUCUAUUUUGGUGGAGAAGGCUGGUUCUUGUUUCUAGAGCUAGAGUUUUCAUCUCAGGAUUCUUAUGGACUCACUUUUGGGGUUUGUUUCCUUAUUUUACUUUUGUAAUAGGCUACACUUUUGGGUUUGUUUCCUUACUAAUAACAUAUCUUUAUUAUAUAAAU
rnacentral:lncRNA from 1 species